AGUGUGUUUCGACACACUAUCAUUAACUGAAUCCAUAGGUUAAUGAGGCGAACCGGGGGAACUGAAACAUCUAAGUACCCCGAGGAAAAGAAAUCAACCGAGAUUCCCCCAGUAGCGGCGAGCGAACGGGGAGGAGCCCAGAGCCUGAAUCAGUGUGUGUGUUAGUGGAAGCGUCUGGAAAGGCGCGCGAUACAGGGUGACAGCCCCGUACACAAAAAUGCACAUAUUGUGAGCUCGAUGAGUAGGGCGGGACACGUGGUAUCCUGUCUGAAUAUGGGGGGACCAUCCUCCAAGGCUAAAUACUCCUGACUGACCGAUAGUGAACCAGUACCGUGAGGGAAAGGCGAAAAGAACCCCGGCGAGGGGAGUGAAAAAGAACCUGAAACCGUGUACGUACAAGCAGUGGGAGCCUCUUAAUGGGGUGACUGCGUACCUUUUGUAUAAUGGGUCAGCGACUUAUAUUCUGUAGCAAGGUUAACCGAAUAGGGGAGCCGAAGGGAAACCGAGUCUUAACUGGGCGUUAAGUUGCAGGGUAUAGACCCGAAACCCGGUGAUCUAGCCAUGGGCAGGUUGAAGGUUGGGUAACACUAACUGGAGGACCGAACCGACUAAUGUUGAAAAAUUAGCGGAUGACUUGUGGCUGGGGGUGAAAGGCCAAUCAAACCGGGAGAUAGCUGGUUCUCCCCGAAAGCUAUUUAGGUAGCGCCUCGUGAAUUCAUCUCCGGGGGUAGAGCACUGUUUCGGCAAGGGGGUCAUCCCGACUUACCAACCCGAUGCAAACUGCGAAUACCGGAGAAUGUUAUCACGGGAGACACACGGCGGGUGCUAACGUCCGUCGUGAAGAGGGAAACAACCCAGACCGCCAGCUAAGGUCCCAAAGUCAUGGUUAAGUGGGAAACGAUGUGGGAAGGCCCAGACAGCCAGGAUGUUGGCUUAGAAGCAGCCAUCAUUUAAAGAAAGCGUAAUAGCUCACUGGUCGAGUCGGCCUGCGCGGAAGAUGUAACGGGGCUAAACCAUGCACCGAAGCUGCGGCAGCGACACUAUGUGUUGUUGGGUAGGGGAGCGUUCUGUAAGCCUGUGAAGGUGGCCUGUGAGGGUUGCUGGAGGUAUCAGAAGUGCGAAUGCUGACAUAAGUAACGAUAAAGCGGGUGAAAAGCCCGCUCGCCGGAAGACCAAGGGUUCCUGUCCAACGUUAAUCGGGGCAGGGUGAGUCGACCCCUAAGGCGAGGCCGAAAGGCGUAGUCGAUGGGAAACAGGUUAAUAUUCCUGUACUUGGUGUUACUGCGAAGGGGGGACGGAGAAGGCUAUGUUGGCCGGGCGACGGUUGUCCCGGUUUAAGCGUGUAGGCUGGUUUUCCAGGCAAAUCCGGAAAAUCAAGGCUGAGGCGUGAUGACGAGGCACUACGGUGCUGAAGCGACAAAUGCCCUGCUUCCAGGAAAAGCCUCUAAGCAUCAGGUAACAUCAAAUCGUACCCCAAACCGACACAGGUGGUCAGGUAGAGAAUACCAAGGCGCUUGAGAGAACUCGGGUGAAGGAACUAGGCAAAAUGGUGCCGUAACUUCGGGAGAAGGCACGCUGAUAUGUAGGUGAAGCGACUUGCUCGUGGAGCUGAAAUCAGUCGAAGAUACCAGCUGGCUGCAACUGUUUAUUAAAAACACAGCACUGUGCAAACACGAAAGUGGACGUAUACGGUGUGACGCCUGCCCGGUGCCGGAAGGUUAAUUGAUGGGGUUAGCGGUAACGCGAAGCUCUUGAUCGAAGCCCCGGUAAACGGCGGCCGUAACUAUAACGGUCCUAAGGUAGCGAAAUUCCUUGUCGGGUAAGUUCCGACCUGCACGAAUGGCGUAAUGAUGGCCAGGCUGUCUCCACCCGAGACUCAGUGAAAUUGAACUCGCUGUGAAGAUGCAGUGUACCCGCGGCAAGACGGAAAGACCCCGUGAACCUUUACUAUAGCUUGACACUGAACAUUGAGCCUUGAUGUGUAGGAUAGGUGGGAGGCUUUGAAGUGUGGACGCCAGUCUGCAUGGAGCCGACCUUGAAAUACCACCCUUUAAUGUUUGAUGUUCUAACGUGGGCCCCUUACCGGGGUUGCGGACAGUGUCUGGUGGGUAGUUUGACUGGGGCGGUCUCCUCCUAAAGAGUAACGGAGGAGCACGAAGGUUGGCUAAUCCUGGUCGGACAUCAGGAGGUUAGUGCAAUGGCAUAAGCCAGCUUGACUGCGAGCGUGACGGCGCGAGCAGGUGCGAAAGCAGGUCAUAGUGAUCCGGUGGUUCUGAAUGGAAGGGCCAUCGCUCAACGGAUAAAAGGUACUCCGGGGAUAACAGGCUGAUACCGCCCAAGAGUUCAUAUCGACGGCGGUGUUUGGCACCUCGAUGUCGGCUCAUCACAUCCUGGGGCUGAAGUAGGUCCCAAGGGUAUGGCUGUUCGCCAUUUAAAGUGGUACGCGAGCUGGGUUUAGAACGUCGUGAGACAGUUCGGUCCCUAUCUGCCGUGGGCGCUGGAGAACUGAGGGGGGCUGCUCCUAGUACGAGAGGACCGGAGUGGACGCAUCACUGGUGUUCGGGUUGUCAUGCCAAUGGCACUGCCCGGUAGCUAAAUGCGGAAGAGAUAAGUGCUGAAAGCAUCUAAGCACGAAACUUGCCCCGAGAUGAGUUCUCCCUGACUCCUUGAGAGUCCUGAAGGAACGUUGAAGACGACGACGUUGAUAGGCCGGGUGUGUAAGCGCAGCGAUGCGUUGAGCUAACCGGUACUAAUGAACCGUGAGGCUUAACCUUACAACGCCGAAG
rnacentral:rRNA from 1 species